AUGUGUGGGGGCUUGCUCCCGAUAGCGGUGCAUCAGCCAGCUUAUACAUAGCUGACACACCGCAAUCGGGAGCAAGCCCCCUCCCAC
rnacentral:antisense_RNA from 1 species